UACGUAGGUGGCAAGCGUUGUCCGGAAUUAUUGGGCGUAAAGCGCGCGCAGGCGGUCCUUUAAGUCUGAUGUGAAAGCCCACGGCUCAACCGUGGAGGGUCAUUGGAAACUGGGGGACUUGAGUGCAGAAGAGGAAAGCGGAAUUCCACGUGUAGCGGUGAAAUGCGUAGAGAUGUGGAGGAACACCAGUGGCGAAGGCGGCUUUCUGGACAUUUCCUGACGCUGAGGCACGAAAGCCAGGGGAGCAAACGGG
rnacentral:rRNA from 1 species